rnacentral:pre_miRNA from 1 species
UGGUGAAGGUGGUUGUGAUACGUUGCUUGGUGUCGUAUCACAGCCGCUUUGACUGGU